rnacentral:lncRNA from 1 species
UUUACAAUGUUUCAAGGUGUUUUCAAACAAAUUUGGGUUUAAAUGAAUCAUUUAGAGCUCAAUCAAGGAAACUAGUGUUACUAGCUUGAGCUAGGUGCUUAUCUAGUCUAUCUUGAUGGAUUCUAAUGCUUUAAAUGAGUUCCAAAUGGUUUAAUAGUGUAUUUAUAUAUGUAACAACUUUUUUAUAAUGUGCAAGGGUCAAUUGGAUCAAUCCAAG